UGUUCCUGGAAAUGGCUAAUACAGAGAAGAAGCAGUCCAAAAAUCCUGGUGGCAGCUGCUAUGGGCCUGUAGGCUCCCUGGUGCUGUCCUGACUUCCCAGGAGAAGCCUCAGACACCUCUUUGGCCAUUCUGGGCAAUGGUAUAGGACCUUAUUCAUAACCCACGAGGUAACGGAGUUUUUCUGGGAUGCAGUCUGCAUUGGGAUUUGAGGGUGUAACACCUUACAGCCUCUGCCCUAAGUGUUCACAACAGCAAACCCCAGCCUCUUAACUCUGUACGGUGCAACAUGCCGAAGGGCUGGGCCCAUGAUCUGAGCUUGUAGGUGGUGUGUCAACAGUAGUAGCAGAUAACCCACAGAAAUACGCUGCAGCAGCCCCAGGAGGAGAGCUGCUUGUGUUGCGCCAGUGAAAUGGUGUCAAGGGCUUUUAGGGAACUGGCCGAGCGAACUGAACUUGCGUGUGCUUACAGCAGGCUUAGGAGAGAUGCUGAACACAUGCUGCCUGCUAUCAGCAGCCCUGUGGUUGCCAAGAAUUGCAGCUACACCAUUACGUAAACCAUCACACAGUACACAUUGUGCCGACAGACAUCUUGUUUGUGUGUGAAUGGAUCUGCGUAGGUAUGUGGGGAAGUUCACACAUUUUAACAGGUUCAUGGUUUAAAUUUAGUACCAAAAGUUAGGCUCUUUUAUAGCCUGAAGUCGUCACUGACAGACAGUAUUCCCUUCUUUUUUGAAAUGGAGGAAGAGAAAUGAAGGUGCAUGCAGCAUGAUAUAGCAAAUUUAUCCUGUUAGAGAAAGCUCCAGUAUAUUUUGUCUUUUUAACAGAGUCUGUGCUAACAAGGCCAAAGAGCAGCUCUGGUUCCCCUACCACACUAGCAGGCAUUUCACCCAUUUAACCCUUAGAAAACUGGCUGGGUUAGGGGAAAAUAACAAUACUUUUUUCCAAACCAUACCAAGCUCUGGGCGUGUGAUAAUUUAAUUCAGAGUAAAGCAAUUAGUCUGUAUAAAGAACUUAAAGUGUACCAAGUUGAUUUUUUUAAAAGUAGCUAUUUCUAGCUCAUUAAGCACAGAACCCUUUACACUCAGCUUUUUGACUGCACUCCUUCACUUCAGCCCAAUUAAGCCAGACUUUCUCAAUCUAGAAAGAAAGUAGAAUGAAACAAGGCCAAUGAAACAGCAAGUAUAGAAGUCAUUUCUGCUCAGCUUUUCAGGCUGCUGUAUGGUCUUUUUUUCUGUUAUGACAUGCUGAAAACAAUAAGCCACCUGAAAACUCUGGCUGUGAUUCAUUAUUUUCAAGAAAAUUGAAAAUUCUGUUAUAAAAUGAAACUUUCUCAGACUUUUUUGUGUGUAUGUAUCUUCAGACUUAACUUGAUAUUCUGCUCAGAAUCGGUAAAAAGAAAAAGGGUUCAUUAUUUGGUUAAAAAAAGGGACAGCCCUCCCAGCACAGAGCCAUCCUGGUAUAAUAGCCAGGCGCGUUGUAGUCAGUACGAAAGACUAAAACACCUGCUCGCAGUUGUAGCACAAUAUUUAUUUCGCAAACCAUUACCUAUUAUUUGAGAUAAAGCAUAUGCUCCUAUAGGCCUGAGGGUAGAUUAAAAUAUUUCAUUGUUAUGCUUAUGCUGCCGCCUGUCUUCUUCAAUAACGCCAAGCAGUGCUACAGUGGCUGGACUCCUCUUAAGAGCAGGCAGGAAGGAUGGAUGAAAUAUAUUACUCCAUGUCUUUAUGGCAAUGGAUGGAUUUUUUUUGUUGCAGGCAAAGUGUACUUUCUGCAUGGCUGGGGACAGUGGCAGAUUUUUUAAAUUAACAUUUGAAUCUGUAUUUAUGAGUGCAUUCCCUGAUGUCUAAACCCAAGGUCAAGCCCUGCCGUGCUUGACCCAGUCUCUCAGGAGAGGGCUUGAAAGGAUCUGCAAAUGGAGAGAGCUGAGACUUUCUGCUUGACUGCUCAAGCCUGACAGGCAUCAUGGGCUAAACAUUUACCUCUUCUAAAUGUCUUUGCCCUAAACAUCAUUUGCUAAGGAGAACCACGUGUUAGCCCACGGCUCUGGAGUGACUUUAUCCCAAACUGCAGAUAUUAACAGAAGAGCUUGGUAAGGCAGGCUUUUUUGACACCACAUGCAGCCUAAGGCUGUGGAUUUCCAACAUCCAGUGCGUGCCGCUUAGGGAGACAGGCGUGUUGAGCCGAGGACUGUGAAAACCACUUUGGAGUUGUUCACCUUCCUCCACGACAGAGCCGCCAAUGGCAUCAGCGCUCCUGACUUCAGGGUGCUGAUGGGACUUGAAAGUGCAUCGAUGCAGUCAGCCAGAAGGCAGCUCUCUCCACACCCAGCUCCUUCCACACAGGGAAGGAGGCAGCAAUGACAGCUAUUUGGACCUUAAUUUUUUAUCCUGAAUAAGAAUCGGGCAUACAUUACGCACAUCAAAUGGCCUGUGUUUUCUGUGGACAGAUUUUCAACUCAGAAAAGGUAUUUUGUAUGGUCUGUGCUCCACUCCCUCUAACGAAAAGCCUGAUCGAAGGUCUCACACCUACUACACAUCAAAAACUGGGUUCCUUUGGUCUAAAAUCUGUGGAUGGAAAGAUAGUGUGUGCUGAGGGGCAGUUACUCCCUGUCUCAGAAUGGAAAUAGCCCUUGAGCAACAAGAACAACAUGUACUGAAGAUUUACUGGGUGCUGCAAAGUGAAGUCUACGACAAUCAGGGAUAUGGCCCUUUUCUCGGUCCCUAGAGAAUACAGAAGCAACAUCAUAAAGCUUACAUCAAAGUCCUACACUAGAAGGGAACAGGAAAGCAGAAGGAAUACUGCUCACUGCUGGUAGCAUUCAGUGGCUUUGCUGGGGUCAGAUUCUGCCACAACACACCUGCCUGGAAGCCCCACAGUGAAGUUCAAGCCUGUCUGCAAACUCUAAGUGCAACUGAACUGGAUUAAAAGGUUUUUACAAGCAUAUGCAGUAUUAAAUGUUAAAUACACCAUGAUUAUCCAAGCCUCAAAGUGUGAUACGAUCCAGAUUCUUCUCUGCCUCAUUUAGCGUCAGACUAAUGAGAACAUGGGGUGCUGGGUGAGGAUCUUCUGAGCACCAGUCAGCCUAGUUCAUGAAAGAGCUCUUUAUUCUCUGGCAAAAGAGAAUCAGGCAGAGUUUGGGGUCCAGUGAGGGAAGCAGAGCAUGUGCUUGGUGGGAUGAUGAGCAACCUUGAAGGAAUUUUUAUUGUUUAAACUUGGGGUAAGGAUCUGCCUUUCAUGUCUGGUGCAGGGGAGAAAGGCAGCAAGUAGUGGAUCACAACAUACAAUGCAUGUGUGUAUUGUAGUUUCACACAGCCUAGAAAAAAUGUUUUUUACUGAAAACUAAGCUAACAUUUUCAGGACUGAGUAAGAAGUGUGCUUUCAUACACUGACUAGGGAGCAGGAACAGGGAGGAGCAAAGUGAUGUGAAUCCAAGAAAGUUUAGUUAGGACUAGAAAGAAAAUGCGCUGUGUGAGUAUUAAUGUUGCACUGGUAAGAUACCUCUAAUACGGCUCUGAGGACUUGGUAAGAGAACAUUCCUUCCAGCUACACCAGUGCCUACCUUCUGAACCGUAAACUUACGUUCCCAAAAUGCCUGCGGUUGUGACUUGCGCGUUUAAGUAAAAGAUGGUAACAGUGAUGCAGGACUUUAGUUCUUUUUUUACAUUAUUUUUGCAGCAUAAAAUUGCCUUAAAGAUAGUGAUAGCAGCCCUGGGACUGUCUUCGGUAGCGGAGGGGUUCUCAGCUAACACAGGCUUUCUGUAACUGCUUGUGGGUCAGUCCUCUGCUUACUGCAAGUAGAAUUAGGAAAAAUUGGAAGCAUAUUUCACAGGUCCAUACUGUAUUGAAUCUACACUUUUGUUCACUCUCACCUCAUUUCUAAUCUCCCAAGGCAGAUUAUUCACACUCACUUUUAUCCUUACAGUUCUCAAAAAUCUGCUUAAUUGUUGCAAGCUAGACUGUACAGUGCUUACGCCUAUGCAAGUAAUCAGGAGUACUGUGGAAACAUCUAGAGGCUUCCAGUAGAAGGAUGGGCUGAAGGGAGGGCUGUUCUGGUAGCAAUAUGCAAACACAGUUUAUGACUUUACGAGUUUUUAAUAUAAAUAAGGAAGGUGGAUGAAUGCUGGAGGAGAAAACAGCUGCACAGAGAGGUGAAGGAAGCUGCUCAAGAUGGGAAAGCAGGUCAGCAGAACAAGGUAUAUAUUGCCAUAUUUCACAACAAAGUGCUAGUACUUUCUGCUGCACCAGAACUUGUAUGGUUGCUUACUCAUGUGUGAGUCGCCCUGUCCUGCUGUAAGAUUUAAUA